rfam:Ixodes scapularis strain Wikel colony gcontig_1108379141174, whole genome shotgun sequence.
ACAAAGGCCCUUUUUAGGGCCAAAAAAAUCUGCUUUCGGAGCCUG